rnacentral:rRNA from 1 species
UGGGGAAUUUUGGACAAUGGGCGAAAGCCUGAUCCAGCAAUGCCGCGUGUGUGAAGAAGGCCUUCGGGUUGUAAAGCACUUUUGUCCGGAAAGAAAUCCUUGGCUCUAAUACAGUCGGGGGAUGACGGUACCGGAAGAAUAAGCACCGGCUAACUACGUGCCAGCAGCCGCGGUAAUACGUAGGGUGCAAGCGUUAAUCGGAAUUACUGGGCGUAAAGCGUGCGCAGGCGGUUUGCUAAGACCGAUGUGAAAUCCCCGGGCUCAACCUGGGAACUGCAUUGGUGACUGGCAGGCUAGAGUAUGGCAGAGGGGGGUAGAAUUCCACGUGUAGCAGUGAAAUGCGUAGAGAUGUGGAGGAAUACCGAUGGCGAAGGCAGCCCCCUGGGCCAAUACUGACGCUCAUGCACGAAAGCGUGGGGAGCAAACAGGAUUAGAUACCCUGGUAGUCCACGCCCUAAACGAUGUCAACUAGUUGUUGGGGAUUCAUUUCCUUAGUAACGUAGCUAACGCGUGAAGUUGACCGCCUGGGGGAGUACGGUCGCAAGAUUAAAACUUAAAUGAAUUG